UACGUAGGGGGCAAGCGUUGUCCGGAUUUAUUGGGCGUAAAAGGCUUGUAGGUGGCCACGCCAAGUCGGAUGUGAAAUCUCCCGGCUCAACUGGGAGGGGUCAUUCGAUACUGGCGGGCUCGAGGCCGGUAGGGGGAAGUGGAAUUCCCGGUGUAGUGGUGGAAUGCGUAGAUAUCAGGAGGAACACCGGUGGCGAAGGCGGAUCUCUGGGCAAUAACUGACGCUGAGGAGCGAAAGCGUGGGGAGCGAACAGG
rnacentral:rRNA from 1 species